CUCUCGCGAGCUGCUGCUGCUGCUUCAUCUUCUUCUUCUCUAUUUUUACUGCUAAGAACUGAAGAGUAGAAUUACACUACUUCCUAUCUCUAUACAUGGAGUUGGAGUCUACUUGUAAUCUUGUAUAAUUCGAUUCCUCAGCAUCGCCCUCCACCACUAAAAUCGAAUUCAAGAUGACCCUCCACUCCAUUGUAAUCCAGAAACUACUCAGCACUAAUGCUCAUUUGGGCCGCCGCGUGGUCGCCGAUCACUUCAAGAUCUAUACGUACGGAAUCCGGAACGAGAAGGCCAUAAUCGAUUCCGAUAAAACCCUAAUCUGUCUUCGGAAUGCUGCCAACUUCAUUGCCCAUAUGGCGCGUGACAAGAAAGCCCGUUUUCUAUUCGUCAAUACCAAUCCUCUCUUCGAUGAGAUCGUAGAACAAAUGACCAAGAAGAUUGGGCUGUAUAGCCCUAGAGAUAGCAUUAUGUGGAGAAUGGGCGGUUUUUUAACUAAUAGUUUUAGCCCUAAAAAAUUUAGGUCGAGAAAUAAAAAGGUUUGUUUUGGACCAAUACAACCGCCAGACUGUGUAGUGGUGUUGGAUUCAGAGAGGAAGAGUUCAGUGAUUUUGGAGGCUGAUAGGCUUCAGGUUCCAAUUGUGGCUCUGGUAGAUUCCAAUAUGCCAUGGGAGUACUAUAAGAAGAUUGCGUAUCCUAUUCCUGCCAAUGAUUCAGUUCAAUUUGUGUACUUGUUUUGCAAUCUGAUUACCAAGACUAUCUUGCUCGAGCAGAAGAAGUUGAAAGCAUUGAAGGGAGAUGCUGCUAAAGAAGAGCCAGUUGUUUCUAAGAAAGAAUCCAGGGAGAACACGAAACAGAUUGAGCAAAGUGAGAGCGAGAGCAAAGUCAGCCCUUCAAUUGAUGAACUGCUAGUUGUUCCUUAUCAGAAUUUGGCUCCUCCUCCUUAUGAUAUUGUGGAAAUUAAACAGCUUUUGGAAAAGCUUGUGAUCGUGAAGUUCAAUGGCACUUUGGGGAACCCAGUGGGGUUUAGUGGCCCCAAGUCUGCAAUUGAAGUUUGUAAUGGUUUGACUUCUCUUGACUUAAUUGUUAAUCAAGUUGAGUCUCUCAAUUCCAAGUAUGGGUGCCACAUACCUUUGGUGCUUAUGAAUUCAACCAGAACACAUGAUGAUACCUUGAAGGUUUUGGGGAAAUAUGCCAGGUUAAGUGUUUAUAUUCAUCCUUUUAGCCUGGAAUCUCUUGAUGAUCAGAACAGCGAGGAUAAAUCGUCUACUUCUGAGGAUGCUUCAGCGUUCCUUUCCUUGAUGAAGAGUGGAACUCUUGAUGUAUUAUUGUCACAGGGAAAGGAGUAUGUGCAUGUGAUUAGCUCAGAUAACUCUGCUGCUGCCAUUGAUCCUAAUAUCCUGAACCAUUUGAUCCAAAACAAGAUCGAAUAUUGUAUGGAGGUACAGUGAUGAAUUUCUAUUUAUUUAGCUGCUUUCACUCAGCAAACAUGUUUACUUCUUAAAUCUUUCAGGUGACUCCAACUGCAUCAACUUAUAUGAGGAAUAGUUUGGCUAAUCAGCGUCAAGGAAGGUUUCAGGUUUAGUGUCACCUUAACUUACUAGUUCUUUAUCUAUGUAGUGUGCUUUUUCUUGACACCUUCUGAGUUUUGGGACAUUAGGAUGACCAAAUAUGAUUAUGGUAAAAAAGGCCAGUGAACUUGAAUAAUCAAUCCUUUAAUGCUUAGAAACAUAAUGGUCCAUUGUAUUUGAAGUUCUUUAAUUUUCAGCACAUUGUAGUUGGUAAUAAAAGUUGCAGAACAUGGUAUGAGUUUCAUUUAUUUUUGUGGAAGUCAGUGGAUUAUGAAAGCUGGACCUUAUACUAACGCACCAUGCCAAAUUAACAUGACCUUUAUGUUUGGUUUGUGCAUGAAGUGGUGUUAAUGUUUUUGGUUCACAAUUAUCAUAUGCAUAUAACAUUUUUUAUUAUUAAUGCAAAUCUCACUGUACUUGCCCUGAAAAAUCAACAGUUAAAUUUUGGAGGACACAUUUAUAGCAUACAAUUUUUGCUGAUAUACAAAAUUUUUUCUAAACUAAGCAAGUCUUGCGGUAAAGAGGUGCAUGAGCCUUUUUUUUUUUAAGUAGCUUUCAGUGGCUCUAAAGAGCUAAACUGAGGAAGAAAAUGAUUGAUGUCGUAUAGCCCACCUAAUUUGGGCAUAAAGAUUAAUUGAUUUCAUUUAUAAUGCAAUAUUUAUUGAAAAGUGAUAACAGUCUGACCAUAAAAUAGUAUAAUGACCAUUCUAAUCAAAUUAUGAUGACCUCUUUGUUUAGUUUGUGCAUCAAUGUUAGUUUUGUUUGUAUUUGGCAAUUGCCGUGUGUAACAUUUCCCUGUCAAUGUAAUGCAGCUUCGGGAAAUUACGCAGAAUCCUUCUAAGCAUGUGAGUUAAAAUUUACUUUUACAUUUUCCAUUAGAUAUUUAGGUCUCUUUCUCUCUCUUAGCUGUGGGUUCAGUGGAUGCAUUCUGUACUUUUAAUUUCAUUUUUGAAGAUGACCCUGGGGUUCUAAAGUUUACAUGAUUGGCAUUGUUACAUUAAGCAAUUUUUGUCGGUCUUCAUGGACUCAUUCUUGAUUUUCCUUUCUGUUCUUUUAUGAUUAACAAAAUCAAGUUGAUGGAGGAAUUCAAAUUUAUUGAUACAAGAAGCUUGUGAGUAGCCUAUCCAAUUUGAUAUUUUUCUCUCUGUAAGCUGGCAAGCAUGCUUAACCCUGGACUUAAAACUAUUUUGUAUAGAUGGGUGAAUUUGAAAACCAUUAAAAGGCUUGUUGAUACUGAUGCGCUGAAGGUGGAGAAUCUUUCAAUUGCAAAGUUAUUUGAUCAAGCUAUUGGCAUAAUUGUCCCUCAAUCUCGGUUUGUACCACUAAAUGCAACAUCGGACAUGCUUCUUCUCCAGUCUGAUCUGUAUUCAUCUUCUGAAGGCAUCUUAGUUCGGAAUGCAGCUAGAGAUAACCCUGUAAAUCCAUCUAUUGAAUUAGGACCUGAAUUUGAAAAGGUUAGUGACUUCCUAAGUCGCUUCAAAUCCAUCCCUAGUAUAGCUGGGCUAGAUAACUUGAAGGUGAUUGGUGAUGUGUGGUUUGGAGCUGAUGUGACUCUUAAGGUAUUUUUAGUCUGCUGUGCCUUAUCAUAUUUAUUGCUUUUUCCCCAUAUUGUCUUGUAUGUAGAGUGGAUAGUGGUAUGGUGCCGCUUGAUGUUUCCAAAUACUCACUUAGGAGUUCUUUGAAGUAAUCUAGUUUCUUGAAUCUUGAUUGUCUCGACAUUGCCAAUGAGGGAACUUCACAAGUUCCUGAGAAUGCUAAUCUUCUGGGUCUUUUGGGUCCUGAUUUCUGAGGACUCAUGCUGUGCUUUCUUUCUCUGUAUGUGUGUGUAUACACAUAUAUCAUUGCGGUUUGUUGUAUUUAUGAAUAUUUACAUCAAUAGUUCUUUUGGGAAGCAACAUAUUUACUACAAAUCAUACCUAUGAUGAUAUACCUAUGGUGAUUUCUGUUGGUGACUUUAUCUAUCAACUUAAUGAUGUUCAUUUUUGGCUGAAUGUCUAUGGUGGCUCAUUAUUGAAGGGGAGAGUAAGAAUUGUUGCAAAGCCUGGGCAGAAAUUGGAAAUUCCUGAUGGAGUGGUGCUGGAGAACAAGGAGAUCAGUGAUCCUGCUGACAUUUGAGGAUCCCUCAAAGCCCCAUUUGUUGUUUAUUUAUAGAGAAUAGAAAGAGCUAAAAUUUUGUAAUAAUAGGUGAUUGUUUUGUUUAUAAGCUCCUCUAUCUCAGCAUUUAAAUC
rnacentral:misc_RNA from 1 species